CCCAGGUCCAUGUAGAUAUUCCUGUCAACUCACCAUCGACACAAACACAGUGAACAGAAAACUCAAACUGUCUGAAGACAUCAGGAAGGUGACAUAUGUGAAGGAGCUUCAGUCAUAUCCUGAUCAUCCAGACAGAUUUGAUUGUUAUCAUCAGCUGCUGUGUAGAACUGGUUGACUGGUCGCUGUUACUGGGAGGUUGAGUGGAGAGGAGAAGUUUAUAUAUCAGUGAGUUACAGAAGAAUCAGGAGGAAAGGAACAGUAGAGACUGUUGGUUUGGAUGGAAUGAUCAUUCCUGGAGUCUGAGCUGCUCUGAUGUUGGUUACUCUGUCUGGCACAAU